rnacentral:lncRNA from 1 species
GUCGGAGGCCCCAAACCUCAGCCCGUGACCCCUCAUUGGAGCCUGUCUGCCUAGAACUUCUUCACCCCAUUCCUGUUCGGGGACAUGAAAGAGGAAAGAGGAAAAGAAAUCAAAACGACACAUGUUCCGGAAAGGCCAGAUUAAACCCCACAGGGGUAGCGUGGGCCAGGACAAGAAGGAAUUUCCGUGACCUUGGAGCCCAUGGACUCAAAUGUCUGACCCAUUUUUUUCCAAGGCUCUUCGCUCCGUGUGCUCACUGGCAUUGCCAAUCUACUUCUGGACCACUGUCCCCAACCCAGGACAUGACAUCAGAUUCCUACCGGACGCAGAGGCUCGUGACUCACCACGACCCAACAGUACUACAUUUGCCAUGUGGAGCGUAAGCCAUUUCCAGUCCUCUGAAAGGAUAAGCAGGAGUGCCCCCAGUGAGGAAGCAAGGCACCGGAUACAACAAGGACCUGGGCGGAGGGACAGAAGGCAAAGACUGGCCACUACUCACAGAAGAGCAGAGCUUCACUAGAAAAAGGGCAAGGGAUUCUGAGUGGAGAGGGGGCUGUAGGCGAAUAUGGACACACUGGGGCUACGUUUAGGUCAUGAGGAAUCUCAAAAGGCACCGUGGGAGUUGAUUUCUUCUUUCUACUUACGUUUUAGGAAACCCUUUGUUGAGCCCGGGUGGCUCAGUUGGCUAAGCGUCGGACUCUUGAUUUCCGCUCCGCUCAUGAUCUUACUGUUUGUGAGUUCGAGGCCCACGUCGACCGCGUGAAGCCUGCUUGGGAUUCUGUCCCCCUCGCUUUCUGCCCCUCCCCCACUUGCUCUCUCUCUAUCUCUCUCAAAACAAAUAACAAUUAGAAAAAGAAAACCUUUUGUGGUAGCCGUUUGAAUGCUGGCUUAAAAGGCAAGGAAAGGGCCCGGAAUUGGGAGCAAGGAGAGACUGCCUAAAGGCUGUUGAAAAAAAAUCUGUGAGCAGUAACAGCUAUCUAGCCCGAGACACUGGGGUAGGGAUGAAACAGAAGAGAAAAUAGAUCUAAUCUAAAGGUGCAAAAUUUGCAGUUCUUGGCUAUCGAAUUGUAUGUAGAGUUAAGAGGAAGGGGAGGGCCAGACAAUGGGUAGCUUCCGCCCUCCAACCACUGGGGAGACAGACGGAGAAGUGUAAUCAAGCCAAAAUGCCUAACGUCCUGAUUUGAAUAAAAUCUUGAAAAUCUGUGCA